rnacentral:rRNA from 1 species
UACGGAGGGUGCAAGCGUUAUCCGGAUUCACUGGGUUUAAAGGGUGCGUAGGUGGGCAGGUAAGUCAGUGGUGAAAUCUCCGUGCUUAACAUGGAAACUGCCAUUGAUACUAUGUUUCUUGAAUUUUCUGGAGGUAAGCGGAAUAUGUCAUGUAGCGGUGAAAUGCUUAGAUAUGACAUAGAACACCAAUUGCGAAGGCAGCUUACUACAGGGACAUUGACACUGAGGCACGAAAGCGUGGGGAUCAAACAGG